rnacentral:rRNA from 1 species
UACGUAGGGCGCAAGCGUUAUCCGGAAUCAUUGGGCGUAAAGCGCGUGUAGGCGGUCCGGUAAGUCCGCUGUGAAAGUCGGGGGCUCAACCCUCGGAUGCCGGUGGAUACUGUCGGGCUUGAGUACGGAAGAGGCGAGUGGAAUUCCUGGUGUAGCGGUGAAAUGCGCAGAUAUCAGGAGGAACACCAAUUGCGAAGGCAGCUCGCUGGGACGUUACUGACGCUGAGACGCGAAAGCGUGGGGAGCAAACAGG